GAUGAACGCUGGCGGCGUGCUUAACACAUGCAAGUCGAACGGAAAUUCUCCUGCUUACGGGGGGACUCAAGUUGCGAAAGGAUGGUGAACAAGUGGGGGAUCUGCCCUGCACUUCGGGAUAAGCCUGGGAAACUGGGUCUAAUACCGGGUAGGUCGAUGGGUUUAAUGCCAUUGUGGCACGUGUUUUCGGGGUGGGAGGAGCUCGCGGCCUAUCAGAUUUUUGGUGGGGUAAUGUCAUACCAGAGCGUCGACAGGUAGCCGGCCUGAGAGGGUAUCCGGCACCAUUGGGACUGAGAUGAGGCACAGACUCAUCCGGGAGGCAGCAGUGGGGAAUAUUGCACAAUGGGCGGAAGCCUGCUGCAGCGCAGCCGCGUGGGGGAUGAGGGCCUUCGGGUUGUAACCUACUUUCGUGAGGGACGAAGCGAAAGUGACGGUACCUGGAGAAGAAGCACCGGCUAAAUACGUG
rnacentral:rRNA from 1 species